CCUACGGGGCGCAGCAGUGAGGAAUAUUGGUCAAUGGGCGGAAGCCUGAACCAGCCAAGUAGCGUGCAGGAUGACGGCCCUACGGGUUGUAAACUGCUUUUAUACGGGAAUAACGCGCCUUACGUGUAGGCCUUUGCAUGUACCGUAUGAAUAAGGACCGGCUAAUUCCGUGCCAGCAGCCGCGGUAAUACGGAAGGUCCGGGCGUUAUCCGGAUUUAUUGGGUUUAAAGGGAGCGUAGGCCGCAUGUCAAGCCUGCUGUGAAAUGUCCGGGCUCAACCCGGGCCUUGCAGCGCGAACUGGCGUGCUUGAGUCCGCGGAAAGCAGGCGGAAUUCGUCGUGUAGCGGUGAAAUGCUUAGAUAUGACGAAGAACCCCGAUUGCGAAGGCAGCUUGCUGCAGCGGAACUGACGCUGAUGCUCGAAAGCGCGGGUAUCGAACAGGAUUAGAUACCCGAGUAGUC
rnacentral:rRNA from 1 species